GGGGGCCCGCAAGCGGUGGAGCAUGUGGUUCAAUUCGACGCAACGCGAAAAACCUUACCUGGGCUCGAACGGCUAGUCAACGAUCGUGGAAACACGGCUACUCCGCAAGGGGGUCUAGUCGAGGUGCUGCAUGGCUGUCGUCAGCUCGUGUCGUGAGAUGUUGGGUUAAGUCCCGCAACGAGCGCAACCCUUGUCCUGUGUUGCCAUGCCGAAAGGCGGAACUCGCAGGAGACCGCCAGCGAUAAGCUGGAGGAAGGUGGGGAUGACGUCAAGUCCUCAUGGCCUUUAUGUCCAGGGCUACACACGUGCUACAAUGGCCGGUACAAAGCGCUGCUAAGUCGCAAGACGGAGCCAAUCGCAAAAAACCGGUCUCAGUUCGGAUUGCAGGCUGCAACUCGCCUGCAUGAAGCUGGAAUCGCUAGUAAUGGCGGAUCAGAACGCCGCCGUGAAUACGUUCCCGGGCCUUGUACACACC
rnacentral:rRNA from 1 species